rnacentral:rRNA from 1 species
ACUCCUACGGGAGGCAGCAGUGGGGAAUUUUGGACAAUGGGCGAAAGCCUGAUCCAGCAAUGCCGCGUGUGUGAAGAAGGCCUUCGGGUUGUAAAGCACUUUUGUCCGGAAAGAAAUCCUUGGCUCUAAUACAGUCGGGGGAUGACGGUACCGGAAGAAUAAGCACCGGCUAACUACGUGCCAGCAGCCGCGGUAAUACGUAGGGUGCGAGCGUUAAUCGGAAUUACUGGGCGUAAAGCGUGCGCAGGCGGUUUGCUAAGACCGAUGUGAAAUCCCCGGGCUCAACCUGGGAACUGUAUUGGUGACUGGCAGGCUAGAGUAUGGCAGAGGGGGGUAGAAUUCCACGUGUAGCAGUGAAAUGCGUAGAGAUGUGGAGGAAUACCGAUGGCGAAGGCAGCCCCCUGGGCCAAUACUGACGCUCAUGCACGAAAGCGUGGGGAGCAAACAGGAUUAGAUACCCCGGUAGUCCCAUGA